rnacentral:rRNA from 1 species
GAUGAACGCUAGCGGCAGGCUUAACACAUGCAAGUCGAGGGGUAUAGGUUUUCGGACCUAGAGACCGGCGCACGGGUGCGUAACGCGUAUGCAAUCUACCUUUCACAGAGGGAUAGCCCAGAGAAAUUUGGAUUAAUACCUCAUAGUAUUACGAGAUGGCAUCAUUUUGUAAUUAAAGUCACAACGGUGAAAGAUGAGCAUGCGUCCCAUUAGCUAGUUGGUAAGGUAACGGCUUACCAAGGCUACGAUGGGUAGGGGUCCUGAGAGGGAGAUCCCCCACACUGGUACUGAGACACGGACCAGACUCCUACGGGAGGCAGCAGUGAGGAAUAUUGGACAAUGGGCGCAAGCCUGAUCCAGCCAUGCCGCGUGCAGGAUGACGGUCCUAUGGAUUGUAAACUGCUUUUGCACAGGAAGAAACAACGCUACGUGUAGCGUCUUGACGGUACUGUGGGAAUAAGGAUCGGCUAACUCCGUGCCAGCCGCCGCGGUAA